rnacentral:lncRNA from 1 species
GGCCAGGCACUACUCUGUCCCAACAAUAAGCCCUGUACAUUGGGAAAGGUGCCGAGACAUGAACUUUGGUCUUCUCUGCAAUCCAUCUGGAGCAUUCACUGACAACAUCGACUUUGAAGUUGCACUGACCUGGCCAGCCCUGCCACUUACCAGGUUGGGCUGUGGCUUGCCUUUUCACUUCUUGUGUCCUGUUUAAGAAAUAUCUGCUAUCCCAAGAUUGCAAACUCCUAGAGAAGGGCUCAACAGUGAGUGCUGAGGCUGCACAGAGGAGGAAGGCAGCACAAUGAUGGAAGGCUUCCUAAAGAGAUAACACUAACAAAGUUGACCUUAGAAUUGGAGUGCCUGGGUUAGAACCCUGCUGGUACCACCUGCUUACUGCAUGCUUCUGAUGUGAGUUCAGGAGAAGACACUGGCAAGGACAGCAAAGAACAGGAGAACACUCUAGCUUCCCUGAUAGCAUUCAAGGUGCUGUCCAAACUGACUGUGAUGGCACCCUCCAGACAGACAGCGAUGCCACAUGUUCAAGAUGGCAGAAUCACUAUCAGCUUCAAUUCCUGAAUGACUGCAGAGCAAAAUUUCUUACCUGCAACAUACACUCUAUUUUCAGCCUCCCUGGACUGUUACAUAAUGAUACAUAAAAAUAUUUCUUGUGUUGAGGCAUCCCAAAUUUGAUUUAUUUGUCAUCACAGUCUAUCCUAUGAAUAUAUUUCUGAUCCAAAUAAUGCUAGAUUCAUGAGAGUUUAUAGUCCAGAGAUUUUUUUUUUUUUUUUGAGACAGAAUCUGUCUCCCAGGCUGGGGUGCAGUGGCAUAAUCUUAGCUCACUGCAACCUCUGCCUCCCGGGCUCAAGUGAUCCUCCCUCCUUAGCCUCCAUGAGUAGCUGGGACCACAGGUGUGCACCACCACACCCCGCUAAUUAUUUUGUAUUUUUUGCAGAGGGGGGUUUCACCACAUUGCCCAAGCUGGUCUCAAACUCCUAGACUUAAGGGAUCUGCCUGCCUUGGCCUCCCAAAAUGCUGAAAUUACACUUGUUAGCCAUAGUAAUAGUUCCUAGCCAUAGUCCGGAGAUAUUUUAAAAACUUUAGUGUGAGUUAUUUCUCUUUGCUAUAAUUCUCUCAUGCAUUUUGAAAACCUUUUCUGCCAUACAGUGGUUUUUGGGAAGUCCUUUUGGACAGACAUAUCACAGGAUGGAGAAACUAAAAAGAGAGAAUGCAUUAAAGAAAAAAUAGUACUUCGUAUUUCAGAAAUUACAAAAGGGUGUCAUGCCCCACAGCAUGGUGGGCAGUCAUUUGUAACCCACAGAACAUUGAGUUUCUAAAAUUUGAGUGUUUUUAACUUACGAAGGCCAACUUUACUGAUGAAGUGAUUACCCCAAAUAUGUGAAAUCCAUAUUUCAAGUACAAUAGUAGGAAAUUGGAAAUGGGUAGGUAUAUUUCUGACUGUCAAAGAGUACAAAGUAAAGAGGGGCCCCUGAAGAGUGACACUACUGGAAAAA